rnacentral:rRNA from 1 species
GAAUCAACGCUGGCGGCGUGCCUCAGACAUGCAAGUCGAACGCGAAAGUUCCCUUCGGGGGGCGAGUAGAGUGGCGCACGGGUGAGUAACACGUAGGUAAUCUACCGUUUGGGUGGGGAAUAACAGCCGGAAACGGCUGCUAAUACCGCAUAAUGCAGCGGCUCGACAUCGAGACAGUUGUUAAAGCGGGGGAUCGCAAGACCUCGCGCCUAAAGAGGAGCCUGCGGCGGAUUAGCUUGUUGGUGAGGUAAUGGCUCACCAAGGCAUCGAUCCGUAGCCGGCCUGAGAGGGCGGUCGGCCACACUGACACUGACAUACGGGUCAGACUCCUACGGGAGGCAGCAGUCGGGAAUUUUGGGCAAUGGGCGCAAGCCUGACCCAGCAACG